AUUGAACGCUGGCGGAAUGCUUUACACAUGCAAGUCGAACGGCAGCACGGGGGCAACCCUGGUGGCGAGUGGCGAACGGGUGAGUAACACAUCGGAACGCGUCCUGUAAUGGGGGAUAACCUGGCGAAAGCCAGGCUAAUACCGCAUACGUCCUGAGGGAGAAAGCGGGGGAUUGGAAACGACCUCGCGUUAUAGGAGUGGCCGAUGUCGGAUUAGCUAGUUGGUGAGGUAACGGCUCACCAAGGCGACGAUCAGUAACCGGCCUGAGAGGGCGAACGGUCACACUGGAACUGAGACACGGUCCAGACUCCUACGGGUGGCUG
rnacentral:rRNA from 1 species